CCCUGCCACAAAAAGAAAAAUAUUAGGAAAACUUUAGUUUAUUCUUCAUGUGAAAUUUGUAAGUUCUUUGUUAAAUUAUGUGACAAGUCUUAGAUUUAGAUUUACUCAAUAAAAGCUAAAGAAAAUAUUGCGCGACAAUUUUUGUAUUAGCAAUUCGUUUAGUGUCAAACACAACUUAUUCUAGCAAUAAAUAGCCAAAAUUAACCCGCUGAAAAUCAAAGAUCUGUUUGCAUUAACAAUCAAAGUGUAGAGGAUGAACUGGGCUACCUCAAAUGCCUUAAAUGCGACAUUCCAUUUUUUCAGAAAACAUAAUACGAAAAACUUUCCAAGUUGUACAGUUUAGCAAGUUUUUUUUUUUUUUUAUGCAUAUAUAAAUAUAGCAAUGCGGAAAAUUGACCCCGUAACCUGAUGUUGCAGUUCCCCGCUACGAAAAGAAAAAUAUUAGGAAAACUUUAGUUGAUUCUUCCAAUCAAAUUGGUAAGUUCUUUGUUAAAUUAUGUGAGAAGCCUUAGAUUUAGAUUUCAUCAAUACAAGCUAAAGAAAAUAUUGUGCGACAGUUUGUGUGUACAAAUCUCAAAUUUUUGUGUUAGCAAUUUGUUUAUUGUCAAAGCACAAAUUAUUCUAGCAAUAGAUAGCCAAAAUUAACCCGCUGAAAAUCAAAGAUCUAUCUGCAAUGACAAUCAAAGUGUAGAGGAUGAAGUGGGCUACCUCAAAUGCUUUUAAUGCAACAUUCCAUUUUUUUAGAAAACGUAAUAUGAAAAUUUUCCAAUUUGUACAGUUUAGAAAGAUUUUUUUUUAUGCAUAUAUAAACAUGACAAUGCGGAAAACUGACCUGCGUACGACCUGAUGUUGCAAUUCCCUGCCAGGAAAAGAAAAAUAUUAGGAAAACUUUAGUUUAUUCUUCCAGUCAAAUUGGUAAGUUCUUUGUUAAAUUAUGUGACAAGCCUUAGAUUUAGAUUUCCUCAAUACAAGCUAAAGAAAAUAUUAAGCGACAGUUUGUGUGUACAAAUCUCAAAUUUUCGUAUUAGCAAUUUGUUUAGUGUCAAACACAACCUUUCUAGCAAUAAAUAGCCAAAAUUAAUCGGCUGAAGAUCAAAGAUCUAUUUGCAUUAAAAAUCAAAGUGUAGAGGAGGGAGUGGACCACUUCAAAUGCUUUAAAUAAAACAUUCCAUUAUUUCUGAAAAGAUAAUUUGAAAAUUUUACAAGUCGUCCCAGUUUAGCAAGAAUUUUUUUAGGUAUAAAUAAGCAUAACAAUGCGGAAAACUGACCCAAGUACGACUUAAUGUUGCAGUUCCCUGCCAUGAAAAGAAAAAUAUUGGGAAGACUUUAGUUUAUUCUUCGUGUCAAUUUGGUAAGUUCUUUUUUAAAUUAGGUGACAAGUCUUAGAUUUAGAUUUCCUCAAUACAAGCUAAAGAAAAUAUUGUAGGAGAGUAUGUGUGUACAAAUCUCAAGUUUUGUUAUUAGCAAUUUGUUUAGUGUCCAACACAACUUUUUUCUAGCAAUAAAUUUCCAAAAUUAAUCCAUUGAAAAUCAAAGAUCUGUUUGCAUUCAAAAUCAAAGUGUAGAGGAUGGAGUGGGCCACUUCAAAUGCUUUAAAUGC
rnacentral:lncRNA from 1 species